rnacentral:lncRNA from 1 species
CAGCCACCAUGAUUUAACACUGAGAAGUGGGCAGUCACAGAGAAAAAGUUUAGAAUAGUUCACCAGUGAAGUCAUCUCAACCAGCACAGGGCCUUGACUCCUAACAACAAUCACACGAACUUGGAAGAGGAGCCUUCCCCAACUGAACCUUCGCUUGAGACCUCGUCCUUGGCCAUCCUCUACAUCUGGAUUCAUGAUACAGAGAAACUUGAGUAAUGAUGACACUAGCAGUCCAGCCUGCAUGGAUGCUGACAUGGAUGCUGUCUCCCAUUCUUACCACUGGAUGGGAAGAAAUGCUAGAUGCAAUCCAGCCAGUCUGUACUCGACUGUCAGUUCCAUCUUCUCAACUCACAGUGUCUUCCAAAGUCCGUGCCACACCACAGCCUGGAACAUCUCCCAAGGUUUCAAAUAAUUCAUCAGUGAAUUCUUCUCAACCUGGUCAAUCAUGUGAACUUAGAAGAUGAUUCCUCCCCAGCUGAUCCUCAGGUGAGACAUCAGCCUUGGCCAUCAUCUACAUCUGGAUUCCUGACCCAGAGAAACUGCCUCUCUGGAUGGUGACUAUAACCUAUAGCCUUGCCCAAUAUGACUCAGGAUUUGGUACUGGCUGUGCCUUUCAUGGGAUGCUUACUUAUCCUGGUCGAUGGCCUAAAGCCCAACCGUCCAGCUUAUAUCCAGGGAUAAACUCAGCCUGCGGGGCCUCAGGAAGAAGGUCGUAGCCAUUUCAUUGAGUCCAGGGCAGAAAAGUGGAAGAAAA